rfam:Schistosoma mansoni strain Puerto Rico chromosome 4, complete genome
AUCCAGAUGACAAGUCCUAAACAGGACGAAACGCUCAUUCUGGAU